rnacentral:rRNA from 1 species
AGAGUUUGAUCCUGGCUCAGAGUGAACGCUGGCGGCAGGCCUAACACAUGCAAGUCGAACGGCAGCACAGUAAGAGCUUGCUCUUAUAGGUGGCGAGUGGCGGACGGGUGAGGAAUACAUCGGAAUCUACUCUUUCGUGGGGGAUAACGUAGGGAAACUUACGCUAAUACCGCAUACGACCUACGGGUGAAAGCGGAGGACCUACGGGCUUCGCGCGGUUGAAUGAGCCCGAUGUCGGAUUAGCUAGUUGGCGGGGUAAAGGCCCACCAAGGCGACGAUCCGUAGCUGGUCUGAGAGGAUGAUCAGCCACACUGGAACUGAGACACGGUCCAGACUCCUACGGGAGGCAGCAGUGGGGAAUAUUGGACAAUGGGCGCAAGCCUGAUCCAGCCAUGCCGCGUGGGUGAAGAAGGCCUUCGGGUUUGUAAAGCCCUUUGUUGGGAAAGAAAACGCAGUCGGUUAAUACCCGAUUGUUCUUGACUGGUACCCAAAGAAAUAGC